UCUAAUUUUCUGUAAAUAACGAAGUGUAAAUCGUUUGCGCGAACUCAGUAUUAUACGGAUAAUACUGGAUGGCUAUUGAUAGACGAGGCCAUAUCUUUGAUGCAACGAAACUCUGUUAAAAUGCCAAAUGUUGACGCUCAGGCUAACUAAGACGGCGUAUAAGUACGUAAUACGGCGGUCGGUUUCCAGAGAUUGCCGUUGGGUUCGUGGGAAAUACUGGCGCAUCACAUUUUUGGCUUGCUUUUAUCAUAAAGCAGAUACAUUUUUGCUGGUCGGGUGCCUGGCGACGAUCGCCAGAAACAAUGAGUACCGCCCUUCUAAGCUGCUGGAAACUUUGAUGAUAACGGACGGCCGCUGGGGAAGCAAGACGGAAAUGGCGGGUAAUUUGAAUUCAAAGGAGCCAGCCAAGCCUGCCCUCCCAACAGCACAUCGUUUUAUUUUGGAACAAACUGUACCUCGUAAACCUUUUGUCCUCUCAACGAUCAUAUAGUCACUAGGACAUAGGUUAUAUAGAAUAGUUCCGCUUUAUAUCUGUAACACAUAUUAAUGCAAUAGAAUUUGUUAGAAGGUUCUAGCGAAUGUCCAGUUGGGCAACUUCAAUUCCUUGUUAGACUCAUGAACUAUCUCAGUGCUCAUAUCGUGGAAGAAGGUCGCCAUGUGAAAUUUAGAAAUUUCCAAGCAAAGCACUGUCGUACUACGUUGAAUUAUUUACGGGUAAUAGAACCUACACAGCUGCUCAUUCUAUUGCGAUAAAGGCCUCUGUGUUUGCUUCAGAUGGACCUCACUUGAAUUUCGGUAAGACGCGAGAGUUUAGGACAGGUUUAAGACGUGCACGUCAGGUGUCAGACCAGCUUGUCGCAUGUCUACGGCCAAGAACCUCAAGGAUCCAUGCCAAUAUAGACAAAUUAUCUGUUUCGUUCUAUAAAUAUGCGGUGUUGAAAUGUUGCUACAUAGGAAGAUAUUGCGCAUUCAGCAGUAUAUCUGUAUAUCGUUUUUAAGGACUAUUGCCUCUAGCUAAUAGUCUUUGACAAAUUGGGGAUACUGGCUUCUUAAUAGCAGUGCCAAAUGAGAGCCUCAAAAUCAACGCGCAGCUACAACCGUAAUAUACAAAAUGAUCAUGGUUCUUUCGUGCAAAGAAGCUCCAGUCUCAUUCAAUAGCUGAUUCUGCAUCAAUGCUUAGUAUACGUGGGC